UCUUUAAUGGAGAGUUUGAUCCUGGCUCAGGACGAACGCUGGCGGCGUGCCUAAUACAUGCAAGUCGAGCGGGGUUAGUUAGAAGCUUGCUUCUAACUAACCUAGCGGCGGACGGGUGAGUAACAC
rnacentral:rRNA from 1 species